rnacentral:rRNA from 1 species
UACAGAGGUCUCGAGCGUUAGGCGGAAUCACUGGGCUUAAAGCGUGUGUAGGCGGAUCGUUAAGUACCUUGUGAAAUCCCACGGCUUAACCGUGGAACUGCUUGGUAUACUGGCGGUCUUGAGCCAGCUAGGGGCUACCGGAACAAAUGGUGGAGCGGUGAAAUGCGUAGAUAUCGGGAGGAACACCAGUGGCGAAGGCGACUACCUGGCCUGUUCUUGACGCUGAGGCGCGAAAGCUAGGGGAGCAAACGGG